rfam:Schistosoma curassoni strain Dakar, Senegal genome assembly, scaffold: SCTD_scaffold0000769
AUCCGGCUGACGAGGCCCGAAUAGGACGAAACGCACGUCUUAGAU